ncrna:Corynebacterium urealyticum DSM 7111 atpB RNA
CCGACCCACCCCUAUGGACGUGCGACGGAGUCCUGGGGGAGAGGUAAUACCAAGAAAUAGACCUCCAUCGCACCGCCUAACUUUUCUAAAAGUUCACGCGGCCCAAUCACGGGAGAGAACGCUGAGUGUAACAAC